rnacentral:lncRNA from 1 species
AGACCACAAGGUGGAGCAGCGUGGUGGGGUUGGGGGGGAGACCACAAGGUGGAGCAGCGUGGUGGGGUUGGGGGGGAGACCACAAGGUGGAGAAGCGUGGUGGAGUUGGGGGGGAGACCACAAGGUGGAGCAGCGUGGUGGAGUUGGGGAGGGGAGACCACAAGGUGGAGCAGCGUGGUGGAGUUGGGGAGGGGAGACCACAAGGUGGAGCAGCGUGGUGGGGUUGGGGGGAGACCACAAGCUGGAGCAGCGUGGUGGAGUUGGGGGGCAGACCACAAGGUGGAGCAGCGUGGUGGGGUUGGGGGGGAGACCACAAGGUGGAGCAGCGUGGUGGAGUUGGGGGGCAGACCACAAGGUGGAGCAGCAUGGUGGGGUUGGGGGGGCAGACCACAAGGUGGAGCAGCGUGGUGGAGUUGGGGGGGAGACCACAAGGUGGAGCAGCGUGGGGCCAUUUGGGACACAGACGUGGAAGGAUGUGAAAAACAAAAUGGCCAACCUUGAGUCUUUAAUACAGGAAAAGCACAUUUUAGAACAAAGCUUUGAAAAAACAUUUAGAAGCUCACUGUCUCUCUGAGGUGUUCAGGGAAAAUAAGAACAAUUUAUAGUCUAUAGCAGGGACGUUCAACUCUGACCCCUGGAGGUCCAGAGCAUGCUGCUUUUCUGUUCUACCUGCUAAUUCAUUGCAACCACCUGAUGUCCCAGGUCUAAAUCAGUCCCUGAUUAGAGGGGAACAAUGAAACAAAGCAGUGGAACUGGCUUCCAGGUUCAGAGUUGAGUUUGAGGGCCUUUCUUUCUUCAGAC